GACGAACGCUGGCGGCGUGCUUAACACAUGCAAGUCGAACGGAAAGGCCCUGCUUUUGUGGGGUGCUCGAGUGGCGAACGGGUGAGUAACACGUGAGUAACCUGCCCUUGACUUUGGGAUAACUUCAGGAAACUGGGGCUAAUACCGGAUAGGAGCUCCUGCUGCAUGGUGGUGGUUGGAAAGUUUCGGCGGUUGGGGAUGGACUCGCGGCUUAUCAGCUUGUUGGUGGGGUAGUGGCUUACCAAGGCUUUGACGGGUAGCCGGCCUGAGAGGGUGACCGGCCACAUUGGGACUGAGAUACGGCGCAGACUCCUACGGGAGGCAGCAGUGGGGAAUAUUGCACAAUGGGCGGAAGCCUGAUGCAGCAACGCCGCGUGCGGGAUGACGGCCUUCGGGUUGUAAACCGCUUUCGCCUGUGACGAAGCGGGAGUGACGGUAAUGGGUAAAGAAGCACCGGCUAACUACGUG
rnacentral:rRNA from 1 species